AACGCACAUUGCGCCCCUUGGUAUUCCGGGGGGCAUGCCUGUUCGAGCGUCAUUAUAACCCUCAAGCCUUGCUUGGUGUUGGAGCAUGCUACCUAGCAGCUCUUAAAAUCAGUGGCAGUGCCCUUCGGCUCUAAGCGUAGUAAUUCUUCUCGCUAUAGGGUCUGGAGGGUCCGCGCCAGAACCCCCAACUUUCUAUGGUUGACCUCGGAUCAGGUAGGGAUACCCGCUGAACUUAA
rnacentral:misc_RNA from 2 species